UACAGAGGGUGCGAGCGUUAAUCGGAAUUACUGGGCGUAAAGCGUGCGCAGGCGGUGAUGUAAGACAGAUGUGAAAUCCCCCGGGCUCAACCUGGGACCUGCAUUUGUGACUGCAUCGCUAGAGUACGGCAGAGGGGGGAUGGAAUUCCACGUGUAGCGGUGAAAAUGCGUAGAGAUGUGGAGGAACACCGAUGGCGAAGGCAGCCUUCUGGGCCAACACUGACGCUCAUGCACGAAAGCGUGGGGAGCAAACAGG
rnacentral:rRNA from 1 species